rnacentral:rRNA from 1 species
AUUGAACGCUGGCGGCAGGCCUAACACAUGCAAGUCGAGCGGAUGAAGGGAGCUUGCUCCUGGAUUCAGCGGCGGACGGGUGAGUAAUGCCUAGGAAUCUGCCUGGUAGUGGGGGAUAACGUCCGGAAACGGGCGCUAAUACCGCAUACGUCCUGAGGGAGAAAGUGGGGGAUCUUCGGACCUCACGCUAUCAGAUGAGCCUAGGUCGGAUUAGCUAGUUGGUGGGGUAAAGGCCUACCAAGGCGACGAUCCGUAACUGGUCUGAGAGGAUGAUCAGUCACACUGGAGCUGAGACACGCUCCAGACUCCUACGGGAGGCGGCAGUGGGGAAUAUAGGACAAUGGGCGCAAACGUGAUCCAGCCAUGCCGCGUGUGUGAAGAAGGUCUUCGGAUUGUAAAGCACUUUAAGUUGGGAGGAAGGGCAGUAAGUUAAUACCUUGCUGUUUUGACGUUACCAACAGAAUAAGCACCGGCUAACUUCGUG